GACGAACCGUCCAACCGUUAUUCGGAAUCACUGGGCUUACAGAGUUCGUAGGCGGUCUGGCAAGUUGGGUGUGAAAUCCCUCGGCUCAACCGAGGAACUGCGCUUGAUACUGGGAAGCUCGAGUCCGGAAGAGGUGAGUGGAACUCCGAGUGUAGAGGUGAAAUUCGUAGAUAUUCGGAAGAACACCAGUGGCGAAGGCGGCUCACUGGUCCGGUACUGACGCUGAGGUGCGAAAGCGUGGGGAGCAAACAGG
rnacentral:rRNA from 1 species